CAAUACAAAAUAUUGUACGCUUAUUGUAAAAUUUUCACGGUUGUAAAAGAUCUUUAUUGUACUUACAUUAAAAUAACACUAUAUUUAAAUGUUACCAAUACAUUCUAUUAUAUUUUUAUUGUUCGCUUAUGUUUAGUAUUGCUCAUCCAAAAACUAAACAAAUUAUAAAAGUAUUCGGUUUGCAUGAUCUGGAAAUUCGUCUAAUGUAAUUGAAUUAAUAUCAUUUUGGAAAAUUUCGUGUAUUUAUUAUAUUGAUGAAAUAACAAUUGAAAACAAUAAAAUUACAAUAGCUUUGCUUAUUAAAUGAAUAAAAAUGUUAUACCAAUUCUCAAGUAAUAUAUUUUCAUAUUGCAGGUCUAGAAAUGUUAUGCAAUAAAAAUUGAAAUUAAAAAAUGAAAGGUAACAAAAACUUUUGCUCAUUAUUUUACUCGGAGAAUGGCUGGAUUCAUUUGAGCGUGUACAGUUUUGUUUAUAAUUAGUGAAGAGAUGAAAAUAAUGAAACUGUAUGGUGCAGAAAGUGUCUUUUUAAUUACAGUUUCUGGUGCUGGGCAACGGUAGAUCACUAUGGCUUCAGUACCGUGAAAUGAAGCUUAUGAUGAAAUACUGAUGCUUGGCCAAUCUCACCAACGGGAUAUAAUAAGAACUGAUGCAGGUUUAUAACUACAUGUAUUGUCUAUCCGGAACAAAGUUAGUACGCUUUUUAUACCGAAGUUGGAUUUUUCUCCAGAUACAGGCAACUUACCCAACUUCGAAAGUAGUGCGCUGGAUUCGCCUAAAGAUGCGCUAAACAACGCAUCAAUUAGUUUGACAGAUAAAACUUUUGAAGAAAGUUCGGAAGUCCCGACAGCAAAGCGAGGUAAAAUGAGUGAAAA